AACGAACGCUGGCGGCGUGGAUAAGACAUGCAAGUCGAGCGAGAUUUUUUUCUGUAGCAAUACAGGGAAAAGUCUAGCGGCGAACGGGUGCUUAACACGUGGGCAAUCUGUCUUAAAGUGGGGGAUAGCUCGGCGAAAGCCGAAUUAAUACCGCAUGUGAUUAGAGUGGACAUCCAUUCAAAAUUAAAGGUGGCGCAAGCUACCGCUUUUUGAGGAGCCCGCGGCCUAUCAGCUUGUUGGUGAGGUAACGGCUCACCAAGGCUUUGACGGGUAGCUGGUCUGAGAGGACGACCAGCCACACUGGGACUGAGACACGGCCCAGACACCUACGGGUGGCAGCAGUCGAGAAUUUUUCUCAAUGAGGGAAACCCUGAAGGAGCGACGCCGCGUGGAGGAUGAAGGUCUUCGGAUUGUAAACUCCUGUCAUUGGGGGACAAGGUGCAUACGUUAACUGCGUGUGCAUUGAUAGUACCCGAAGAGGAAGAGACGGCUAACUCUGUGCCAGCAGCCGCCGUAACAC
rnacentral:rRNA from 1 species